UACGUAGGAGGCAAGCGUUGUCCGGAAUUACUGGGUGUAAAGCGCGUGUAGGCGGCAGGCCAAGUCUGUGGUGAAAUCGCUCGGCUCAACUGGGCGGGGUCCAUGGAAACUGGUCAGCUGGAGGACGGUAGAGGUGAGUGGAAUUCCCGGUGUAGUGGUGAAAUGCGUAGAGAUCGGGAGGAACACCGGUGGCGAAGGCGGGUCUCUGGGCCGAUACUGACGCUGAGGAGCGAAAGCAUGGGUAGCGAACAGG
rnacentral:rRNA from 1 species